AGAAUGAUUCAGCCCCACUGGGACUGAUCCCCGGCCCAAGACUUCUACCGGAGGGCAGCAGGUGGGAAUAUUGCACAUUGGGCGCCAAGCUUGAGACAGCCAUGCCGGAGUGGUUGAAGGAAGGCCUUCGGUUGUAAAGCACUUUCAGUACAGGAGGAAAAGGUUAGUAGUUAAUACCUGCUAGCUGUGACGUUACUGACAGAAGAAGCAACCGACUAACUCCGUGCCAGCAGCCGCGGUAAUACGGAGGGUGCGACCGUUAAUCGGAAUUACUGGGGCGUAAAGCGUACGCAGGCGGUUUGUUAAGCGAGAUGUGAAAGCCCCGGGCUCAACCUGGGAAAUGCAUUUCGAACUGGCAAACUAGAGUGUGAUAGAGGGGUGGUAGAAUUUCAGGUGUAGCGGUGAAAAUGCGUAGAGAUCUGAAGGAAUACCGAUGGCGAAGGCAGCCACCUGGGUCAAACACUGACGCUCAUGUACGAAAGCGUGGGGAGCAAAACAGGAUUAGAUACCCUGGUAGUCCACGCCGUAAACGAUGUCUACUAGAAGCUCGGAACCUCGGUUUUGUUUUUCAAAGCUAACGCAUUAAGUAGACCGCCUGGGGAGUACGGCCGCAAGGUUAAAACUCAAAUGAAUUGACGGGGGCCCGCACAAGCGGUGGAGCAUGUGGUUUAAUUCGAUGCAACGCGAAGAACCUUACCUACACUUGACAUACAGAGAACUUACCAGAGAUGGUUUGGUGCCUUCGGGAACUCUGAUACAGGUGCUGCAUGGCUGUCGUCAGCUCGUGUUGUGAGAUGUUGGGUUAAGUCCCGCAACGAGCGCAACCCCUAUCCUUAGUUGCUAGCAGGUAAUGCUGAGAACUCUAAGGAGACUGCCGGUGAUAAACCGGAGGAAGGUGGGGACGACGUCAAGUCAUCAUGGCCCUUACGUGUAGGGCUACACACGUGCUACAAUGGCGCAUACAGAGUGCUGCGAACUCGCGAGAGUAAGCGAAUCACUUAAAGUGCGUCGUAGUCCGGAUUGGAGUCUGCAACUCGACUCCAUGAAGUCGGAAUCGCUAGUAAUCGCGUAUCAGAAUGACGCGGUGAAUACGUUCCCGGGCCUUGUACACACCGCCCGUCACACCAUGGGAGUGGGUUGCUCCAGAAGUAGAUAGUCUAACCCUCGGGAGGACGUUACCCACGGGAGGAUUCAGGNNNU
rnacentral:rRNA from 1 species